GAUUGUCAAAUACCUCCAUGACAAUCCGAAACUUCUAGAGGCUGUAAAGGCUGAACAGAAGGAGAUUUACAAAAUGAAUGGUGAAGGUAGUCAGCCAUUGAGUUGGAAUCAAACUAGAAACAUGCCCUUUACUUCCAAGAUUGUUUUAGAGAGCCUGAGAAUGGCAAGCAUUAUAUCCUUUACUUUUAGAGAAGCAGUGGCUGAUGUG
rnacentral:misc_RNA from 1 species